rnacentral:rRNA from 1 species
UACGUAGGGAGCAAGCGUUGUUCGGAAUUAUUGGGCGUAAAGAGCUCGUAGGCGGUGUGUCACGUCGGCCGUGAAAACCUGCAGCUUAACUGUGGGCGUGCGGUCGAUACGGGCAUCACUGGAGUUCGGCAGGGGAGACUGGAAUUCCUGGUGUAGCGGUGAAAUGCGCAGAUAUCAGGAGGAACACCGGUGGCGAAGGCGGCAUCCUGGACCGGUAUUGACGCUGAGGCGCGAAAGCUAGGGUAGCAAACGGG